AACCACUCUGCACAAUUUCAACUCAAGGUAAACAAUCCCUCUAUCGAUUUGUACCUAAAUUGCUCCUAUUUCAGAAUCUAACACCAACGAUUGCUAUCAAUAGAAAUCGGAAUUUUCAGCUUUAGGAAUCUCCUUUCUGACCAUGUGAACUCCAUAACCAAGUCCUACUCACGGAGGUACCAAGAGGUAGAUCUGACAUCGAAAAUUAGGAACGAACAUGCAAAGAUCAUUGAAGUCUUAUGAACCAAAAGUCAGGACAUAGAAUGAGCAACCCCUGAAGACCCGAAUGACUGCGUUUAUGUAUUUGUUGAAUAUAAUUAAGGCCCAUCAAGUAAAACAAAAGAAUGUAAACAAUUACGGUAACCAACUGGAGUACUUGAAAUAGAGUGAAGCAACCCCUGAAGACCCAAAUGAUAGUGAUAGUGAAAAGUGCAUUUCACAGUAAUGUCAAACUUUGAGCAAACAGGCAGGCACAACAAUUACACAUGUAAAGAUACUAUUAGCGCGUAACAGUAUUAACUGACGAAAGUGAUACUGACCUUGAAAAUAAAUAUGCAACGGCCAGCACUGUUGAUAAUGAUCUGACAAAAUUUAGGACCCGCUUUUUAACAAUCUGGCCAGCUUCGGAAGGAAGAAUCAUUGGAUCCAAUGCUCUGUAAGAGAUUGAGUUCCACUCAGUAAGUCACAUAACAGGUAUAUCUGUUUUUUUUCUUAAUAACCAACCUGCAGAUGUAGAUUGCUCCUGCCCAUAGCAGUAAAGGUUGAAUGUAAGAGGCUGUGACAUGAAAUGUGCUGCUUCUUCACCAGCUGCUAUCACUUUUCUGCAUUCAGUAUGAUGGAAGGUGGUUUAAUAUAGGCAAUAAAAAGAGUCAACUCAACUUCAUGUAGCCUCUUUCCAUAUAAUUGUUCCAUAGAAGCAUACAACAGUGAGUUUUGACAAGGAGAAACUGCAUUACCAACCACGAACCCCAAAAAAUUUGUUUCUGCAUUGUCUGACAAGCGGCCUGAGUCCCCAUAUUGCAAAAAUAACAAAACCUACAGCUGAAGCCAAUUUGAUCACAUGGGGAUUUCCAUUCAAGGAUCUGCAAAGCCCCAAGAUUUUUUACGAAAAUAUUGCUAAAACCAAGGGGCAUGUAAGCAGAUGCUUCGCCAAACAACAUGCAAGGCCCCAACAGGCAACAUGUAUGAAGAACGCAUAUGCAUACUUUAUUUUAAAGUUGUACUGAUUGGCCUUUCUGGCACAAGCAUAUUCCAAAGCUAAAUAAUCAACAUCAUCAGCUAAAGUCUAUGCACAACCAGUCAAGAUUCAGUGCUGAGUCAUCCCAAAAUAAUAUUCAAUGUUCUUCAAGGAAUUUGCUCUCCUACAAGUAUGUUAAGAUCACCAUGCAUCUUUUUAUACUUGAUAUGCUCAACAAAUGAAACUAACAACACGCCCAUUGGCCAUUUGGUGUUCCACUUAUGGGGUAUAAUUAAAGUUCGUGAAGGUAUGUACUCUUCUGCAUACACAACAUUUACAGCCAAAAAAAACUAAGCAAUCAUCUUAAAUGUCUUUCAUCUUUCAUCAUACAUUUUUUGGGGAGUAAAACAGCUGUGCGAGGGGAAAAAUAAAAUUUGUGCCAAAGCACUACCCUUCUCAUAUGUAUGAAUAGGGUAAAUUGUUUUAACAUGUGUACUUGGCUCACACUAAUGUUUGGAGUAAAAUUUGGAGACUAGUUAGCAACUGCAAUAUGUGAUUCUACUUCCACAUUGGAAACUGUAAUCUAAAUUGUCUCAUCAGUCAUCCCCCACCCCAACACCCGGUACUGUAAUAAACUACUUUUUCCCUUAUAAAUUAUCACAAUAUAUUAAUAACACACACACACAUCCCCAAAUGUUCACACAUGCACACACAUAUUCAUUUUAACACUUCUUUUUCUCUUGCAAA